rnacentral:rRNA from 1 species
CCCGAUGAACCUGAAUAUCCAUUAUGGAAAAUUCAUCAUUAAAAAUAUUAUAUAAAAUAUAUAAUAAAUACUAUGUGCAAUUUUUCCAUAUAAGGACAUUGUAAUCUGUUAAUGUAAUAAAUAUUUAUCAAAAAGUCUUUAACAUAAGUUUAUUCAAAUUAGUUAUUUUCGAAUUUCUAACAUAGAAUAAUUGUUUUAGAUUUGAUAAAUCAUUGACAGAUUUUAUUAUAUAUAAUGCUUAAAUUUAAUUUAGAAUUUUUAAAUUAUAAUAGAAAUUUAUUUUUAUUAUAUAUUAUAUGCAUUUAUAUGAUUAACAAUGCGAUAGAUUCAGGAUACCUUCGGGACCCGUCUUGAAACACGGACCAAGGAGUCUAACAUAUGUGCAAGUCAUUGGGUAUUUAUAAUAAAACCCAAAGGCAUAAUUAACUUAACUAUAUUUUAAUGGGAUUAGUUUGUAUUUUAUUAUGAAAUACAAAUUCAAUCCCGGGGCGUUCUAUAUAGUUAUGCAUAAUGGUAUUUAUAUUAUUUAUGCCUCUAACUAGAGCGUACCUUGAGCAUAUAUGCUGUGACCC